AGUCAAAAAACUGUUAGCAUUCUGGCUCGGCACCUGUGGCUCAAGCGGCUAGGGCGCCAUCCACAUACACCUGAGCUGGCAGGUUUGAAUCCAGCCCGGCCCACCAAACAAAGAUGGCUGCAACAAAAAAUAGCUGAUGUUGUGGCGGGCGCCAGUAGACCCAGUGACUUGGGAGGCAGAGGCAGGAGAAUCACUUGAGCCUAGGAGUUGGAGAUUGCUGUGAGCUGUGAUGUCACAGCACUCUACCCAGGGCUACAGCUUGAGGCUCUGUCUCAAAAGAAAAGAAAAAAACGGUUAGCAUUCUGGCCACCUUCAGCCUCCGGUCUGACCGCAUUCCUGUCACUCAAGGUAAGAGAGGUGGGGCCUGAGGUAACUCCAGGUAUCCAAUCAGCGAUGCUCCAAUAUGAACUGUCCAAUUAGAUGCACAACCAGAAAAAAAGGAGGCGGCUCUGGGAAUCCUGAGCAGCUCUCCUCGCUUAGGCUGGGAACUGAUCUGGGGUCCCCUCUUCACUGUUGCAUCUUCAGGACGAUCCAGGUGUCUCUGCAGACGCCUCUGUCACUUAUGACCUGCAGGUACUGGGAGAUCAGUAGGGACGACACUGGGACAUCCCUGAAGCUAGGAAAUGGAAAUGUUGACAUUUAAAGAUGUGUCUAUAGAAUUCUCUGUAGAUGAGUGGGCCUGCCUGGACCUGCUCAGCAGAAUUUGUAUCAGGAUGUCAUGCUAGAAACCUACAGCAACCUGGUCUUCCUGCGGCUUGCUGUCUCUAAGCCAGACCUCAUCACCUGUCUGGAGCAAAGCAAAGAACCCUGGAAGGUGAAGACACACCAGAUAGUAGUCAAGCACAUAGGUAGGUUUAAUCAUUCUACCCAAGAUCAUUUGCAUUAGCUGGGCACAAAUAAUUUAUUCCCAGAAAUCAUCCUGAGAAGAUAUCAAAGCUGUGGCCCUGAGAAUUUAAACUUAACAAAAGACUGGGCAAGUGUGUAUGAGUGUAAGCAGCAGAAGGUAUAUUUCAUUGGACUUGACCAAUGUUUAACAGCUACUCCUAGCAAAAUCUUCCAAUGCAGUAAAUGCUUGAAAGUCUUCAGACAAUUGUCAAAUUUAAAUACACAGAAGAUGAUAUGUACUGUAGAGGAAACUUUUCACUGUAAAAAAUAUGGGAAAGCCUCUAACCAAUGCUCAUCUGUUACUAAAUAUAAGAUAAUUCAUAUUGAAGAACAACAGUACAAAUGUAAAAAGGCAGCAAAGUCUUUGAAUCUUGUUCAAGCCUGUCUAAGCAUAAGAGACUUCAUACUGUAGAGAAGCUCUGCAUUUGUGAAAAUUAUGGCAAAUGUCUUAGCCACCAAUCAAAAUAUUGUAACCAUAAUACUAUUAAUACUGGAGGAAAACUCUACAACUAUAAAGAAUGUGACAAACUUAGCAACUCACACCUUUCUGAACAUCAAAGAAUUCAUUUUGGAAAGAAACCCUACAAAUGUCAAGAAUGUGGUAAAGCCUUUAAUUAUAGUUCAACCCUUACUAACCAUCAAAGAAUUCAUUCUGGAGAGUAUCCCUAUGAAUGUAAACAAUGUGGCAAAGUCUUUACCCAUUACUCACACCUUUCUGUAUAUCAAAGAAUUCAUUCUGGAGAGAAACUCUACAAAUGUCAAGAAUGUGGCAAAGCCUUUACCCAGAACUCAACCCUUUCUGUACAUCAAAGAAUUCAUUCUGGAGAGAAAUCCUAUAAAUGUCAAGAAUGUGGCAAAACCUUUAAUUGUAGUUCAACCCUUACUAACCAUCAAAGAAUUCAUUCUGGGGAGAAACCCUACAAAUGCUAAGAAUGUGGGAAAAUGCAGGGCCCAGAGAACUCUGACCGCCUGAGAUGGGCACAAGAUUAUCCACAGGUAAUAAUCAGUCCAUGACAAUGAUGGCUUUCUGGACAGCAACUAUUUGGCCCAAUGUCAGCAGGGAUGCCCAGUACAAUGGGUAGUCUACCCUCUCUUCUCUACCUAUGGAAAGCUGUGGGCCAAGGCUUUCUAAUAAUUGCUGCAGCUACAUAUUCAGUGCUUAAUACUGCACUUUAUCCUAUGACUAAACAAUCUGAUUCUAUAUCAGGAGUGACAGGAGAGCUGGAACACAAAUUCCUUCUGAAACCUGUCACAUGCUGGAGUGGAGAAAGAGAGAUGACUCAUUUUUUUUUUUUUUUUAUUUUUUUGAGACAAGUCUCAAGCUGUCACCCUGGGUAGAGUGCAAUGGUGUCACUACUCACAGCAACCUCAAACUCUUGGGCUCAAGCAAUCCCCUUGCCUCCGCCUCUCAAGUAGCUGGAACUACAGGCGACCACCACAAUGCCUGGCUAUAUUUUAGUUAUAGUUAUCAUUGUUGUUUGGUGGGCCUGGGCUGGAUUUGAACCCACCAGCUCCAGUGUAUGUGGCUGGCGCUUUAGCCGCUUGAGCUACACAGAUGCCAAGCCUCAUUGUUUUUUUUUUUAGAUUCCUGAUUUCUUUGUUCUCUUGCUGGGGAGAGACUUGUCUAAAUUAUAUACUGAGAUUCCCUUUUCUCCAGAAAACAAUAGCCUUCAAAUGAAGGUACUGCAUGAACAUUCCUGGUGUAUGUCACUUCAGUAUCUGGAGGAUGAGGAUGAAUGGCCAGAGGAAAGAAAUAUUCAGUGUGUGUCCAAAAUUGUGAAGCUGGUCAUCUGGAAAAGUGUGAGAAGAAGAAAGUCAUUGACCUUGCACCCAGAGCUGCAUCCUCUACUGAAGAAGGUCUGGAAGCCCCCAGCUCAAGUCUCAUCUGAUCCACUGACAGGCUGUGACCUCUUGUCCAAGGAUGGGGUGUGCUCAUGUCCUUCCUAGGAGGAGCUGUGUGUUUCUCCACCCAGGGCUGGAUCCCCAAGAUCAGACAGUGUAGGGAUUUGUAAGACAAAAUUUGUAAGACAAAAUGGAUGGCCAUGGCAUAGGUCUGCACUGCUCUGCUCACAGGCCCCUCCAGCCAGUUGAUCUCAGAGAGCUGCUCCCAGGUUAGGAGAAAAUGUAUCUGCUAUGACCAUACUUAGGCUAUGUCUUGAUAAAUUGGCUAAUAGAUAGCAUUGAGGGAAGUCACCCAUCUUUUUUGACAGUGCAGCGGUGAUCUUUGGGUAACUGCAAUCUGGGCCAUUUGGAACUGAAAUCUGGGACACUUGCUCUACCUAGUAUGUGCCCUUAGGAGUCCCCUACCACAGGCAUCGCAGGCCUUCUCCAUGUCACCUCUGUGUAUAAUGUCAGAGACUUUUGUUUUCUUUUCUACAGUCAAGCUGUGCUCAUCUUGGAGACAGUACUCUGUGCAGGAAUCAUGUGAGCGUGAGAGUCAAACAAAAGAGUUUCCAAGGUUAUUCAUUCUGGAAUCUUCCCAUGCACCUUCAGUUUUUGGCAGGAGCUGGGCUUGAAUCCGCCACCUCUAGCAUAUGGAGCCAGUGCCCUACUCCUUUGAGCCACAGGGGCCAUCCUGGUUCAAGUGUUCUUAUCACACACUGUUUAAAAGCACCCUCAUUCAUGGGAGACAACAUCCUUUCUUUGGAAAGGUCCUGAAAAUAAGAAGAAUUAACACUGGUGUCACUAUUUUUUUGGAGGGAACAAAGCUGAAAUUUAUGUUUACUUAGAUAUGCACCAUGCUGUCUUAAAAUGGAGUAAAGUAUAUGGUGGGUAAAUAUUACAAAUUUUUCCUCCUGUUCUAUGUGGCUUAUUAUUAUUAUUAUUAUUGUUUUGAGCCAGAAUCUCACUAUGUCACCCUCAGUAGAGUGCAUGUGGCCAGCACCCUAACCAGUGAGCUAUGAGCACUGCCCCAUUAUUAUUAUUUUUAUAUUUAUUUUUCUUUACAUAUAUAUUUAUUGAGACAGUCCGUGUCACACUGGGCAGAAUGCUGUACUAUCAUAGCUCACAGCAACCUCAGUCUCCUGGGCUUAGGAUAUCCUUUUGCCUCAGCAUCCUGAGUUUUGUGACUACGGGUGUAUGCCACCAGGCCUAAGUAAUUAUUUUUUUUUGUUUUUCAGGUUUUUUUUUUUAGAGACGGAGUCUCAUUUUGUUGCCCUUGGUAGAGUGCCAUGGUGCCACAGCUCACAGCAACCUCCAGCUCUUUGGCUUAGGUGAUUCUCUUGCCUCAGCCUCCUGAGUAGCUGGGACUACAUGCGCCCACCACAAUGCCUGGCUAUUUUUUGUUUUUGUUGUAGUUGUCAUUGUUUUUUAGCAGGCCCAGGCCAGGUUUGAACCUGCCAGCCUCAGUGUAUGUGGCUGGUGCCCUAACCACAGAGCUAUGGGCACCGAGACUAAUUAUUCUUCUUUUAAUAGAGACAGGGUCUCCCUCUUGCUCAGGCUGGGCCUGAAUGUCUGUGCUCAACUGAUCCACCUCCUCAGUCUCCCAGAGUGCCAGGAUUACAAACAUGAGUCACCACGCCUGGCCACCAUGUACCUCUUCACCUUGUGCUCACCUGGUGUGCUGCAGAUUCUUACCUAGUUUUUAGAUUCACAAAAAUUCAGUAUGUUACAUUUAUUUUCUUUAUUUAUUUAUUUUUGAGUCUCAAGCUAUUGCCCUGUGUAGAGUGCUAUGGUGUCAUAGCUCACAGCAACCUCCAACUCUUGUACUCAAAUGAUCCUCUUGCUUCAGUUUUUCUGCUUUUAGUAGAGACAGGGUCUUGCUUUUGCUAAGACUGGUCUUGGACUCAGGAGCUCAGGCAAUCCACUGCGUCGGCCUCACAGAGUGCUAAGAUUACAAGCAUGAGCCACCGCACCUGGCCCAGGCUGAACUUCUUUUUUUUUUUCAGUUUUUGGCCAGGGCUGGGUUUGAACCCGCCACCUCCGGCAUAUGAGGCUGGUGCCCUACUCGGUUAAGCCACAGGCACCGCCCGAGGCUGAACUUCUUAAUUGUAUAUUAUUUGAUGACACUUCUUCCUAAAUGUUAUAAUCAAUACAGAGUAUUUUGUUUGUUGGAAUAAUUCGUUUUAUCUUUUAUUAAUAAUUGACAUUGUAGGGUGGUUCCCGUAGCUCAGUGGAUAGGGCACCGGCCACAUACACUGAGGGAGGUGGGUUUGAACCCGGCCCGGGCCUGCUAAUCAGCAAUAACAACUGCAGCCAAAAUUAGCCGGGCUUUGUGGCAGGUGCCUGUAGUCCCAGCUGCUUGGGAGGCUGAGGUAAGAGAAUUGCUUAAGCCCAAGAGUUUGAGGUUGCUGUGAGCUAUGAUGCCAUGGCACUCUACGAAGGGCAACAUAGUGAGACUCUCUCAAAAAAAAAAUUUUUUUUAUACACCCACAUAUCCGUAUAUAUUAAAAAUGUGUAAUUUGAGUUGGGUGCAGUGGCUCAUGCCUGUAAUCCUAGCAUUCUGGAAGACUAAGGUGGGUGGAUUGCUUGAGCUCAGGAAUUCAAAAUAAGCUUGGGUAAGAGUGAGAUCCAGUUUCUACUAAAAACAAAAAUAGAGAAACUAGCUGGGUGUUGUGGUGGGCACCUGUAGUCUUGAGUACUUGAGAGGCUGAGGCAAGAGGAUCACUUAAACCAAAGAGUUUGAGGUUUCUGUGACCUAUGAUGCCAUGGCACUCUAUUCAGGGCAACAUAGUGAGACUCUGUCUGAACAAAACCCCCAAAUGUAUAACCUGGUAAGUUAGAAAUGAUUUGAUAGAUAGACAUCUUGGAAAAGAACAUCACCACGAUCCACAAUUCAUCAUCUCUUAAAGCAACAGUUCUCAACCUGCUGGUCAUGACCCCUUAUAACUAUAUUAAAGGAUGACGGCAUUAAGAAGGUUGAGAACCACUGUUAAAAAGUAUUCUUCUUUUUCCCUUUUUUUUUUUUAAGCAGAGCUCACUCUUACCCAGACUAAAGUGCCAUGGAAUCAGGCUAGCUCACACCAACCUCAAACUUCUGGCCUCAAACAAUCCUGCUGCCUCAGCCUCCAAAGUAUGUGAAAGUAACGGUGUGCACCACAAUCCACAGUUUUUGGCCGGGGCUAGGUUUGAACCUGCCACCUCCGGCAUAUGGGACCGGCGCCCUACUCCUUGAACCACAGGCGCCACCCAGAACAGAUAAUUUUGCUUUUCAUGUUGACAUAAGUAAUGUAAGUGCAUUAUAAUUUUCUUCUAUUAUAUAAACAUCAACACUGAGUUUGCAGUAUUUUGCUGGAUUUUUUAAACAUUUAAGAUUUUCUCAUCCAAGAGUAAAUGAAUAACCUUGACGGAAACCAAAAGUCUUAGUCAAAGGACUAAGCCAAUGUCAAUCUUGGUUCUGGAAACGGUGGUCACUGAAGACUUACAAUGUCUCCCUUGCAGGGUCACAGCCUCUUCCCACCAGCCAUGGGAGGAGCCCUUUGUACUGAGAGGAGCUGAAGAGCCCUGGACAGCUGGGGACCCAAAGGCAGAUGUGGUUGAUGGCAGUGACGGGUGAUGCGAUGCCCUUCCUGAAGGUUUAGGUGGUUUGUUGGGACUGUUUGUAGACAUUAUUCAAUAGAAGAAAUUUGAAAUCAUAUCUUACUGUCCAACAAAAUUAACUUGUAAUUAUUGUAAGGAAGUAUUGCUUGGGGAAAGCACCAAGUAUAAGAUCUGCAAGCCUCACACUCAAUGGCUUCCUUUCAUAAAGAAGAGCAAGCAAGUUUUGCAAAAUAUGGGAAGUGAGGGCAGAAUAGAAGGUGGAAAAAUAAUCUGCUAGAUCAGAAAAUGUUUCACCUUAAAGUCUGCCUGUUCAUAGUAGGAAUAUAGAUAUCGACGUCAGAAUAGGCCAAAUUUCAGGUGCUGGGUAAAGGAGAGAAACUUAAGAGAAAUUUGAUGAAAGAAUAUUUUGUUUGGACUGCUGAAGACAGAACUGUUCAGUUAAUUAUUUAUGAACAAAAAAUAGGAAUUUGCAGAGUUUGUGCCUGGCCUUGUCAUAGGUAAAAUGAGGAUUAUCAUCCAACUUAUAAUGGGAAGGUUUGAUUUUUGCAGUGAGUUGCUCUUGAGAACCCAGAGGAUGAGGAAUUUUUUUUUCUUUUCUUUUCUUUUUUUUUUUUUUUUUUUGAGACAGUCUCAUUAUGUCACCCUUGGUAGAGUACUGUGGCAUCACAGCUCACAGCAAUCUCAAACUCUUGGGCUUAAGUGAUUCUCUUGCCUCAGCCUCCCAAGUAGUUGGGACUACAAGGGGCCUGCCACAAUGCCCAGCCAUUUUUUUUUUUUUUUUUGCAGUUUUUGUCUGGGGUGGGGUUUGAACCUGUCACCUCCGGCAUAUGGGGCCGGUGCCCUACUCCUUUGAACCACAGGCACCGCCCAACACCCAGCUAUUUUUCUGUUGCAGUUAUCACUGUUGGUUAGCUGGCCUGGGCUAGGUUGGAACCCACAAGCCUUGGUAUAUGUAUGUAUGUGGAUGGCACAGUAACCACUGUGCUACGGGCCCUGAACCCUUUUUUCUUUUUUUUUAGACAGACUCUUACUCUGUUUCCCUGAGUAGAGUGCUUGACAUCAUAGCGCACAGCAGCUUCAAACUCUUGGGCACAAAUGAUCCUCUUGACUUAGAUUCCCAAUUAAGUGGGAAUAUAGGUACCCACCACAACGCAUGGCUACUUUUAAAAAUAGAAAUAGGGUCUCUAUUUUUAAAAGUAGCCAUGCGUUGUGGUGGGUACCUAUAUUCCCACUUAAUUGAGAAUCUAGAAAUAGGGUCUCGGGCAGUGCCUGUGGCUCAAAGGGGUAGGGUGUCAGCUCCAUAUGCCGGAGAUGGUGGGUUCAAACCCAGCCCCGGCCCAAAAAAAAAAAAAACUGCAAAAAAAAAGAAAGAAAUAGGGUCUCCCUCUUGGUCAGGUAGGUCUCAAACUCCAGAGCUCAAGUAAUCCACCCCUCUUAGCCUCCAAUAGUGCUAGGAUUAUAGGAUUUAGUCACAAGGGCUGGCUAGGAUGUGGAAUUUCUUUAAUCACAGCUACUUACCAGGAUGAAUUGUACACCCUAUCAUCUCCCACCACAUUCCCUUGCCCUAUACAUGUCUUUCGUGUAGCUUUUUAUGAGUAGUCUACUUUAUAUAAAAUUGGUGAACACUCAUAUGAAUGGCAAAACAUAACUAUAGUCCAGAAAGUAGAAGAGAAGAGGAGAGGGAGAGGAGGGGAGGGGGGAUGUGGAAGAAGGGAGGGUAUUUGGGGGACCUCACCUAAUGUGCAUGAUGCAAUGGUAUAUUUCAAAACUAUUAAGAGAUGAGUAUAAUUGUGAUGGAUGUGUUACUUAGUUCAAUGUAAGCAUUUCACAUUGUAUAUCAAAGCAGUACCAUGAACCCCAUAAAUGCAUCCCUAUGUACAAAGUUAUGAUUUAAUAAAAAAAAAUAAUAAAUUCAAAAAAAGAAUACUCGCCAGUUAGAAUUUUCGUGUUCUCUGUAGGAAACAUAUAAUUAAGAAUAAUUUAAUCAUCCGCACUUUUGUACAAAAGACAAACACAACAAUGGCCCAGGAUGAAGGAGGGAAGAGGAAGGGGAGAGGACAAGUGGGGGAGGCCAGGUGGAGGGAGGGUAAUUGGUGGGCCCUCACCUACGGUGCAUAUGCAAGGGUACAUGUCAAAUCUAUUAAGAGUAGAGUAUAAAUAUCUUUUUUUUUUUUUUUGGUGGUUUCCAGAGCAAUUUAUUCAUUAAAAUCUGUUCAAUAUGCCAUCAACAAUUUUCCCAUGUGUAUUGUGCUGAUAAAUAGACACUGAGAGGAUUUAACAAGUUCAUCAUUUAAUAAGUCUGAAUGCAUUUUCACCACAUGGUAUUGUACACGGUCAUCUGUUGAAACAGAUUUCUUUUUAACAGAUCUUAGUUUAAAAAAGUCAUAGAUACUGUGAAUUCUGUAUAAAUUGGUGGAUAGUAAGUUAGUUCCUUUGUUUUGACUUACAAGCCUCAA